CUGGCGCCUGUCACCGAGCUACUUCGGGGCAAAGAAGAAGGAGGAUUGGCUUACUCGGGAUGUCUGGGCCUCGGAUAGGCUUGUCGAGCGCUCCCCCGUACAAGCUGGCAGUCGUCGAGGGGCCCACUUAGCAAUUUGGGGGAUCCUCGACACGGUAAUGCAGGGGGCACCGCGUGAGGCUGGUUCACAGAGCAGCGCAAACUCCUCGCUGUUAGCAGUGGGCGGAUUAGGGGCGUGAA
rnacentral:SRP_RNA from 17 species